rnacentral:miRNA from 1 species
UAGUUCUUCCCUUUGCCCAAUU